AUUUUACCUUUUCUAUUUCACAUUACCUGAAAAGUAGGAUCAUUUUCCUUCAUAAUUUAGAUGCUAAGUAUGAAUUUCCAUUUCAUUCUUUUUAUGACCUCCGGGUGUACGGAAAAAUGUAUAAAAGAGACUGCUCAAUGAUGCAAUUAUGGUGGUAGAGUUUGUUUUAUAAAGUACACCGACCCACUUGAUGAGCCUGCCAAAAAACAUAACCUAAAGCUUCAGCUAAACGAGUAUCGUAUCUUCAAUGCAUCUAUGAAUAUUGGUCCACACUUUGACACAAGGAAUGUGGGAAUAGUUGGUCUGGUCGCACCUUAGGUUUAAAUGAAUCCAAGAGAGACUUGACAUGAACUCCAGGCGAAGGAUAUAAAUAUUGAGAAACAAAAGUCCUCAUUUAAAUCAACCAAAGAUAAGCAUGCCUCCUCUUGACUUACCCUAUCUAUUUGAAACGCUACAUUAACAACCCACAUCAACCCUAAUUCGUUUUCUUCUCAACAUGGUCACCACUACUCUUGAAAAUACGGCUGCCAAAAAUCAACAUUGCUUAACAAGCUCAUGGAAUUAGGAGGCAAAUGCAAAUCUGGAUACAGAGUACUUUCAUUUGACGUAAUACAUAAAUAUCUUCUUUAGCUAAAUCAUUGGGUCGUGUUUGGCAUGGUCUAAAAUCUUCA